rnacentral:misc_RNA from 1 species
AAGUCGUAACAAGGUUUCCGUAGGUGAACCUGCGGAAGGAUCAUUAGCAGAGAGUUGUGGGAUUGAUUGGGUGGGGGGAGUGUGGGGUGGUUGGAGUGUGGUGAGUUGGGCAGAGAUUUUGUGCCUGACGGCCCGGCCAGCCGACGACACGCACGCACGCUCGCUCGAUUGAUCGACAAUACAUUUACGCGUGUCGAGUUUGACUGAUUGAUAGAUAGAUUGAUUGAUUGAGAGACAACUUUUAACAAUGGAUCUCUAGGCUCUU